CACAAACACACACUGCAUUCACUAUACACACACCACACAAACACACUCUGCAUUCAGUAUACACACACUAGACAAACGCACACUACAUCAACUAUACACACACACUAUGCAUUCAUUAUAUACACACUACAUCCACUAUACACACACUACAUGCACUACACAAACACACACUCCACAUUCACUAUACACACUGCAUCUAAUACACACAAACAGCCAUCACUAUACACACUCAGCAUUCACUAUACACACACUACAUCCACUACACAAACACACUCUGCCUUCACUACAGAAACACACUCUGCCUUCACUACACAAACAAACUCUUCCUUCACUACGCAAACACACACUACAUCCACUACACAAACACACUCUUCAUGCACUAUACAUAC